AUGAUGAUAUCACGUUGAAACAGCGGUCCUCGUACGAUUAGCGAAAUUAAGCAACGUUGAGACUGGUCAGUACUUAGAUGGGUGACCACUUGGGAAUACUAGGC